GACGAACGCUGGCGGCGUGCUUAACACAUGCAAGUCGAACGGAAAGGCCCUGCGUUUGUGGGGUGCUCGAGUGGCGAACGGGGGAGUAAAACGUGAGUAACCUGCCCUUGACUGUGGGAUAACUUCAGGAAACUGGGGCUAAUACCGGGUAGGAGCUCCUGCUGCAUGGGGGGGGUUGGAAAGUGUCGGCGGUGGGGGAUGGACUCGCGGCUUAUCAGCUUGUUGGUGGGGUAGUGGCUUACCAAGGCUUUGACGGGUAGCCGGCCUGAGAGGGUGACCGGCCACAUUGGGACUGAGAUACGGCCCAGACUCCUACGGGAGGCAGCAGUGGGGAAUAUUGCACAAUGGGCGGAAGCCUGAUGCAGCAACGCCGCGUGCGUGAUGACGGCCUUCGGGUUGUAAACCGCUUUCGCCUGUGACGAAGCGUGCGUGACGGUAAUUGGUAAAGAAGCACCGGCUAACUACGUG
rnacentral:rRNA from 1 species